UACGUAGGGUGCAAGCGUUAAUCGGAAUUACUGGGCGUAAAGCGUGCGCAGGCGGUUCGCUAAGACAGAUGUGAAAUCCCCGGGCUUAACCUGGGAACUGCAUUGGUGACUGCAUCGCUCGAGUAUGGCAGAGGGGGGUAGAAUUCCACGUGUAGCAGUGAAAUGCGUAGAGAUGUGGAGGAAUACCGAUGGCGAAGGCAGCCCCCUGGGUCAAUACUGACGCUCAUGCACGAAAAGCGUGGGGAGCAAACAGG
rnacentral:rRNA from 1 species